rnacentral:rRNA from 1 species
UACGUAGGUGGCAAGCGUUGUCCGGAAUUAUUGGGCGUAAAGCGCGCGCAGGCGGCCUUUUAAGUCUGAUGUGAAAGCCCACGGCUCAACCGUGGAAGGUCAUUGGAAACUGAAAGGCUUGAGUACAGAAGAGGAAAGCGGAAUUCCACGUGUAGCGGUGAAAUGCGUAGAGAUGUGGAGGAACACCAGUGGCGAAGGCGGCUUUCUGGUCUGUAACUGACGCUCAGGCGCGACAGCGUGGGGAUCAAACAGG